UCAUGGAAGUGUGUAGCAUCUUCACUGUGCUCCAGGUGGUCUUACAGACUGCCAAGUAUUCCAAAUACAUGAUCAAGGAGAAAAAAAGGUACAUGAAUCUGUCCUCCCUCUAUCCCAAACCCUGGACAAUGGCUGCAUGCUAUGUAAGCUGCUCACCCAGUAACGCUGUCCGGGCAUGACUCUACAACGGAGCCAUCACGGACGAUCAUUGACUGAUGUCGCUUAGAAGAUAAGGUAUUGCAAAACAUCUUCCUCCGAUGAUGAGAAAGGAAAAGGGAGACUUAUUUCAGUUCAGGGAAAUGAGGACAGAAGAACAGGAACCCUCCCAUUAUGUUGCUUCUCUGUGUUGUG